rnacentral:tRNA from 1 species
AUUACUUUGGCAGAAAAUGCACUAGGUUUAGGACCUAGCUAUGUAGAUGAAUUUUACAGGUAAUA